GUCACCUCGCGCGGGGAUGAAUCCUCUGCAGACGACUGAUGUGACCAAGCGGGUCGUGUAAGCGGUCAAGUAGCCUUGUUGCUACGAGUCGCUGAGCGUCAGCCCGAUCCUUGGCUCGAUUUGU
rnacentral:ncRNA from 1 species